rnacentral:rRNA from 1 species
GACGAACGCUGGCGGCGUGCUUAACACAUGCAAGUCGAACGGAAAGGCCCUGCUUUCUUGGGGUGCUCGAGUGGCGAACGGGUGAGUAACACGUGAGUAACCUGCCCUUGACUUUGGGAUAACUUCAGGAAACUGGGGCUAAUACCGGAUAGGAGCUCCUGCUGCAUGGUGGGGGUUGGAAAGUUUCGGCGGUUGGGGAUGGACUCGCGGCUUAUCAGCUUGUUGGUGGGGGAGUGGCUUACCAAGGCUUUGACGGGUAGGCGACCUGAGAGGGUGACCGGGCACAAUGGUACUGCGGGAGGGCCCAGACGCGAACGUGAGGCAACGGUGGGAAGUAUGACACAGUGAGCGGACGUCUGUUGCAGCAGCGUCGCGUGCGGGAUGACGGCCUGUGGGUUGAGAACCGCUUUCGCCUGAGACGAAGCGUGUGUGACGGUAAUGGGUGAAGAAGCACCGGCUAACUACGUG